rnacentral:lncRNA from 10 species
UGAUGAUGUGACACGGCUGCUGUUUUAAAAGAUUUGUAUUGAAAGUGUCAAAUUUUUAAAAAUUGGGGAAAGUUGAUAGUGACCGUUGGAGUCUUCUGUUGCUGUUUCCCACUGAAGAUUUUUUUUCUAGAUAUAGAACAAUCUUACUUAUGAGAAACCUGCUGAAUAUGGUUCAGGAGGGUCUGAAACUGGUCCUGCCCCCACUGCUACAGGAGAUGAGAAAGUUUAAUUCCACUUUGUGUCCUGAAAGAGAGAAAGAUGGUCUGUGUAAACACUGGACAGCUUCAUUAAAAUAAAGAAUUUUGCAUUUAAAGAUUUUAGGUAAGUAUGGUAUCAUGAUCAGUAUUUUGAAACCUGUACAAACCACUAGUAUAUU